rnacentral:lncRNA from 10 species
GAAUGAAACCAACCUUGCCAAUCCCUGAUCCUAGACCUCCAGCCUCCACAACGGCCUUUGGACUCAGAUGGAAUUAUACCACGGGGUUUCCUGGAUCUCCAGCAUGCAGAUGGUAGAUUGUGGAACUUCUCAGCCUCCAAAAUCGAUUUUAAUGCUGUGUGAUCAUCUUAGUGCACCACACAUUUUCUGCAUUUUGAUUUUUUCUUUUGUGGUGACUCCCAAAGGUAGAAUUUCUGAGCUAAAGGAUAUUUUAUUUUACGUUCCUGCAUAUUUUUACCAAAUGGUUGCAUACAAAGGAUGAAAGCUUUACAUUCCCACUGGCAGAGAAUGAGUACCCACAAGUGCCCCAAGUCUAUGGUAACCUGUCCUGUGGAGGGAAAUCUGAAAGCUCUUAGUGAGACCAGUGGGCAGAUGCUGAGCCUGCCCCCAGACAGAGGGAGAAGUCGAACCACCAAGCAUUUGCUAGGCGGCGCAGCAUCUAUGUGGUCAGGGCCA